rnacentral:rRNA from 1 species
CCUACGGGAGGCAGCAGUGGGGAAUAUUGCACAAUGGGGGAAACCCUGAUGCAGCGACGCCGCGUGAGUGAAGAAGUAUUUCGGUACGUAAAGCUCUAUCAGCAGGGGAGAAAAUGACGGUACCUGUCUAAGAAGCCCAGGCCAACUACGGGCCAGCACCCGCGGGAAUACGCAGGCGGCAAGCGUUAUCCGGAUUUACUGGGUGUAAAGGGAGCGUAGACGGCAGCGCAAGUCUGAAGUGAAAUUCCAUGGCUUAACCAUGGAACUGCUGUGGAAACUGGGCAGCUGGAGUGCAGGAGAGGUAAGCGGAAUGCGUGGUGUAGCGGUGAAAUGCGUAGAUAUUAGGAGGAACACCAGUGGCGAAGGCGGCUUACUGGACUGUAACUGACGUUGAGGCACGAAAGCGUGGGGAGCAAACAGGAUUAGAUACCCCGGUAGUC